CCUCACAUACAACUGAAUUCCUACAUUAGGAACAGUCUCUGGAGUAGCAGGGGAUAGUACGUUCUAUAAUAUGAGGAAGUUUACCACAGAUUAAGUUGAUGUCUCCAGUUAAAACAUCUCGGGACUGAAGUGGGCACUGUGACACUGUCGGAACUGGGCUCUACAGACAUAGGUCGAAAGUGGCUGCGUUGACCUGGUUGCUGGUCAUUUGCAUGGAGCUGCGUUAAGGAGGAGGAAUGUCCAAGACAGCAACCAUUUCCCGACUGCGUCGAUUCCCCAUGGAGGUGUUCUGCAGGGCUAAUUGAAAGUUCCAGUUGAUACUGGCAGGGUAAGGGCCUGGUUUGUUAUAGGUAGGAAUUUUAGUGUAUAAUUUACAGUAAUU